CGGUUAUGACACUCAACCAAGUCAGCCGUCCAGUCAAGACACUCAAAUGUCAACUCAGCACUCCAGCACUCAGAAUAUUCAUACCAAAAGAAACCUUAUUCAAGCAGGCUUUGGUGCAGAUUCUAACCCAUUCUUGAGGCCUAAGGUUGUGUCUGAUAUUAAGACUAGACUUCAGCUUAGGAGUCAACAAAAUUCUGGCACUAGAAAGAUACCAUUCACAGGUGAUCACACUGGUAGCUCACAACCAACGAAACUGCCAUACUCCCCAAAGAAAACUGCCUGGAAAGGGAAGGAAGCAAUGACAACAGCUCAAUUGUUGGUGUAAAAGAGAAAAAGAUUGGCAAACUCAAAGCUAGAAGAGGCAAGGGGAGGGGCAAUGGGGAGUAGUGUAGCUUCAAAAUACUUAAUGUAAUCCUUUUUUGUAUGAUUGUUCAGUACAUGAUGUUUGCAGACAAGUAAAUGUUCUAGGUUUUUAGACAAGGAAUGUAAUCCUUUUUUGCAUGACUGUUCGGUACAUGAUGUUUGUAGACAAGUAAAUGUUUUAUGUUUUUAGGCAAGUAAAUGUUGUGUUAGUGCUGUAGGUUUUUGGAUCACACAUUUAUUUGUCUAAUAACAAUGUUUUGUUGGGCUUAAACAAUGUAAAUUUGCUACUCUCAACAGUAUGUGCAUCUUACAGUUAUUUUAGAGAAUUUAAAAUACCAACUCAUCCAUCCAGUUAGAAUUUAAAUGUUAACAAAAAUGAAAUGUAGAACCAUUUCAUAAACAAAAUUUAAAUGCUAAAAAACUUCACUUCAUACCAAAAUAGAACCAAUACAUAAAUAUUACAAUUGCAGAAAAAGAUUAAAAAAAAAGAAACUAGUACAUAAACUGCAUCAUGACAUAACUAUACCAGUCCAUAACAACACUAAAUGAUCUUGAAAACUAUUACUGACACAAAGCCAAUCCAAGAUAAAACAAUCAACAACUUCAUAUUUUGUAGUUGAGCCUCCAUCCUAGCAACCUUCUGUAAUUUUGCUGAAUUUAUUCCCUCGACCUCUUCCAUUAUUUUCAGAUUUUUUAGCCUUUCUGCAAAAAUAUCAACUUCCAAGUUAGCCACCAUCUUCUUCAGAUAAUUUCUUUCAACUUCAACCGACUUCAGUGAAGUAUUCAAGUUAUGGAUUAGCAUCGUCACAUGUGGUGGCAUCUCUUCAUCACGCCAUUCCUACAAACCACAGACCUCUUUUUCUAUUUCAAUUUUUUUAGUCUUUCACCAGAAACAACAACUUCAAGGUUAGACACCAUCUUGUUCAGAUAAUUUCUUUCAACUUCAACCGACUUCGGUGAAUUAUUCAAGUUAUGGAUUAGCAUUGUCACAUAUGGUGGCAUCUCUUCAUCACGCCAUUCCCCAAACCACAGGAAGAGGCCUCGUCCAAAUGAGGCAUUUGUAGAAUCGACGACCACCGUUCAAUUGAGUCUUAGCCAAAAAAUAAUUUGCAGUUAAACAACAACUACAAAUACGCGACGAACCAGAAGAGACGGAAUUUUCAGACAU
rnacentral:lncRNA from 1 species